CUGCUGUUUGGCUUUUGGGAUAAAAGUCCGAAUCACUUGUCCUCAUGUGACUGAGGUUUUGAUAUGAAAAGCCUUAAAUACCGGUACUUAAGAAAACAGCCUGGGAGUGCAAUCCGGAUCGAAAAGCAAGUUUCUGCUGGUUGGUCCUUGACUUCACUAUCUCACGCAAGUGCUGGUGUAUUCACUGAAGUUCCCUUGCAGCUGCCCCGUGAUAGGCGGGGUGGGGUGACCCACAGGAAGCAAUGGUGACUACACAGAGCUAACGGUGAUUGUCCCACUACUCUUCAGAUCAGAUCAGACUCUUCGGUGGAAAUGGUUUUAAGGAAUGAUGGUCAGGAGGAGCUCUCACCUCCCAUCUGGUGCAGUUCUAGAGGGACGCAAAGAAUAAAUGGAAUCUGAACCAGAGAAAUUGAAGGAAAGGAGAGGGAAGAAGUGGCUGGCUAGAGGAAUCAUAUAGAGUCCUCUUCUCCUGGUCAAUGGCUCUGUUGUGUAUAUUCAUGUGCAGAAGGCAUCUCCGCACACCCUGGCUUCACCCUGACCUGAUUUGAGAAGGAAACUAGAAAACUUGAUGAUCCCUAAAGCCUGUGUUAAUACACCGGAAGGAGCAACUGCAUGGUUUGGCCCGAAUCCUCCACAGAAACACAUCAUCCAAGUAGACCAAACAGACCCCCUGAAGACCUUCCUGAAGGGGGAGCCCCAAACCCUGGGGGUGGCGCAGAUCCUGAUUGGUCUGAUGAAAGUGUGCCUAUUUGCCAUAGUUCUUCGUAUCGGGAGCUGUGUCUAUUGCUGCUGGGAGAAGGAUGACAUUAAACCUGAGGGUAUUCGAGACUGUGAUAUUAGUCCUCUCCCUGCUGGAAGUCAGCAUCACUAUCUCUCUUUCUGUGUUUGGGUGCAAGGUGACCUGCUUUGUCACACAGGUGGUGGUUAUCCAGCCAACCAAUGACCAGGUGCCUCCAGUAAAGGCCCCUUAUGAACAUGUCUAUGAGGAUCUGGAGUUUUAACAGAAGAGUUCCUGCUUUUAGAAAAAAUUAUUCAUUGAGCAUCACUAGGUCAAUAAUAACCUGCCUGCCAGAAAGGGUUCACAUCUGUGCGUGGGAACAUAGUUAUUACAAAACCAAAUAAAAUACAUUUUCCCUCUAUUGAUGUUGAUUGU
rnacentral:lncRNA from 1 species